rnacentral:tRNA from 1 species
GCUUCGUUAGCUCAGCGGGAGAGCAGCGCCUUCACAUGGCGAAUGUCGGGAGUUCAAUCCUCUCACGAAGCACCA